GAUGAACGCUGGCGGCGUGCCUAAUACAUGCAAGUCGAGCGAACGGACGAGAAGCUUGCUUCUCUGAUGUUAGCGGCGGACGGGUGAGUAACACGUGGAUAACCUACCUAUAAGACUGGGAUAACUUCGGGAAACCGGAGCUAAUACCGGAUAAUAUUUUGGACCGCAUGGUUCAAAAGUGAAAGACGGUCUUGCUGUCACUUAUAGAUGGAUCCGCGCUGCAUUAGCUAGUUGGUAAGGUAACGGCUUACCAAGGCAACGAUGCAUAGCCGACCUGAGAGGGUGAUCGGCCACACUGGAACUGAGACACGGUCCAGACUCCUACGGGAGGCAGCAGUAGGGAAUCUUCCGCAAUGGGCGAAAGCCUGACGGAGCAACGCCGCGUGAGUGAUGAAGGUCUUCGGAUCGUAAAACUCUGUUAUUAGGGAAGAACAUAUGUGUAAGUAACUGUGCACAUCUUGACGGUACCUAAUCAGAAAGCCACGGCUAACUACGUA
rnacentral:rRNA from 1 species